GACGAACCGUGCAAACGUUGUUCGGAAUCACUGGGCUUAAAGGGCGCGUAGGCGGUCGAUCACGUCCGGGGUGAAAUCUUUCGGCUUAACCGGAAAAGGGCCUUGGAUACGGAUCGGCUGGAGGGAGGUAGGGGCAGGUGGAACUUCCAGUGGAGCGGUGAAAUGCGUUGAUAUUGGAAGGAACGCCGGUGGCGAAAGCGACGCACUGGACCUCUUCUGACACUGAGGCGCGAAAGCCAGGGGAGCAAACGGG
rnacentral:rRNA from 1 species